AUUGGGAACAUUUUGCAU
rnacentral:ncRNA from 2 species